AACGAACGCUGGCGGCAUGCCUAAUACAUGCAAGUCGAACGAACCCACCGGGUCCAUGGGCGCAUGGGGUUGUAACGCGUGGGAACCUGCCCUUAGGGUUGGACUAACUCUCCGAAAGGGGUGCCAAUACCGGACCAUGGCUACUGACCAAAGAUUUAUUGCCCUUGGUUGGACCGGCGUUGGAUACGCUGGUUGGUAGGCUAAUAGCCUACCAAGGCGACGAUCCAUAGCUGGUUAGAGAGGAUGAUCAGCCACUCUGAGACUGAGACGCGGCCCAGACUCCUACGCGAUGCAGCAGUGGGGAAUGUUGGACAGUGGGCGAAAUCCUGAUGCAGCACUGCCGCGUGAGUGAUGAAGGCCUUGGGGUUGUAAAGCUCUUUUACCCGGGAUGAUAAUGACAGUACCGGGAGAAUAAGCCCCGGCUAACUCCGUG
rnacentral:rRNA from 1 species